GCGGGUAUAGUCUAGUGGUAAAA
rnacentral:tRNA from 1 species